rnacentral:rRNA from 1 species
GUCGAACGCAGUAGCAAUACUGAGUGGCAAACGGGUGAGUAUAAUGUGGGAAUCUGCCUUUUGGUUCGGAAUAACACGGGGAAACUUGUGCUAAUACCGGAUAAGCCUUUACAGGGAAAGUUUUAAUGCCAAAAGAUGAGCCCGCACUUGAUUAGCUAGUUGGUAAGGUAAAAGCUUACCAAGGCAACGAUCAAUAGCUGUUCUUAGAGGAAGACCAGCCACAUUGGGACUGAGACACGGCCCAGACUCCUACGGGAGGCAGCAGUGGGGAAUCUUGCACAAUGGGGGAAACCCUGAUGCAGCGAUGCCGCGUGAGUGAAGAAGGCCUUUGGGUUGUAAAACUCUUUCGUCGGGGAAGAAAAUGACUGUACCCGAAUAAGAAGGUCCGGCUAACUUCGUGCCAGCAGCCGCGGUAAUACGAAGGGACCUAGCGUAGUUCGGAAUUACUGGGCUUAAAGAGCUCGUAGGUGGUUAAAAAAGUUGAUGGUGAAAUCCCAAGGCUCAACCUUGGAACUGCCAUCAAAACUUUUUAGCUAGAGUGUGAUAGAGGUAAGUGGAAUUUCUAGUGUAGAGGUGAAAUUCGUAGAUAUUAGAAAGAACACCAAAUGCGAAGGCAACUUACUGGGUCACUACUGACACUGAGGAGCGAA